AGGUUGUGUUGUUUGCAAUAUGUAUUGUACAUUACCGUGUGCGGUCCGUACACGAUCUCAUAUUGCACUUGACCCAGCCUGC
rfam:Acyrthosiphon pisum strain LSR1 Contig21355, whole genome shotgun sequence.